rnacentral:tRNA from 1 species
GGGAAUGUGGCUUAGUGGUAGAGUGCUUGCCUAGCAUGCAUCAAGUCCUGGGUUCGAUUCCUCAGUACCA